rnacentral:rRNA from 1 species
CUAUACAUGCAGUCGAGCGGACCGACGGGAGCUUGCUCCCUUAGGUCAGCGGCGGACGGGUGAGUAACACGUGGGUAACCUGCCUGUAAGACUGGGAUAACUCCGGGAAACCGGGGCUAAUACCGGAUGCUUGAUUGAACCGCAUGGUUCAAUCAUAAAAGGUGGCUUUUAGCUACCACUUACAGAUGGACCCGCGGCGCAUUAGCUAGUUGGUGAGGUAACGGCUCACCAAGGCGACGAUGCGUAGCCGACCUGAGAGGGUGAUCGGCCACACUGGGACUGAGACACGGCCCAGACUCCUACGGGAGGCAGCAGUAGGGAAUCUUCCGCAAUGGACGAAAGUCUGACGGAGCAACGCCGCGUGAGUGAUGAAGGUUUUCGGAUCGUAAAACUCUGUUGUUAGGGAAGAACAAGUACCGUUCGAAUAGGGCGGUACCUUGACGGUACCUAACCAGAAAGCCACGGCUAACUACGUGCCAGCAGCCGCGGUAAUACGUAGGUGGCAAGCGUUGUCCGGAAUUAUUGGGCGUAAAGCGCGCGCAGGCGGUUUCUUAAGUCUGAUGUGAAAGCCCCCGGCUCAACCGGGGAGGGUCAUUGGAAACUGGGGAACUUGAGUGCAGAAGAGGAGAGUGGAAUUCCACGUGUAGCGGUGAAAUGCGUAGAGAUGUGGAGGAACACCAGUGGCGAAGGCGACUCUCUGGUCUGUAACUGACGCUGAGGCGCGAAAGCGUGGGGAGCGAACAGGAUUAGAUACCCUGGUAGUCCACGCCGUAAACGAUGAGUGCUAAGUGUUAAAGGGUUUCCGCCCUUUAGUGCUGCAGCAAACGCAUUAAGCACUCCGCCUGGGGGAGUACGGUCGCAAGACUGAAACUCAAAGGAAUU